GAUGAACGCUGGCGGCGUGCCUAAUACAUGCAAGUCGAGCGAAUGGAUUAAGAGCUUGCUCUUAUGAAGUUAGCGGCGGACGGGUGAGUAACACGUGGGUAACCUGCCCAUAAGACUGGGAUAACUCCGGGAAACCGGGGCUAAUACCGGAUAACAUUUUGAACCGCAUGGUUCGAAAUUGAAAGGCGGCUUCGGCUGUCACUUAUGGAUGGACCCGCGUCGCAUUAGCUAGUUGGUGAGGUAACGGCUCACCAAGGCAACGAUGCGUAGCCGACGUUGGAGGGUGAUCGGCAACACUGGGACUGAGACACGGCCCAGACUCCUACGGGAGGCAGCAGUAGGGAAUCUUCCGCAAUGGACGAAAGUCUGACGGAGCAACGCCGCGUGAGUGAUGAAGGCUUUCGGGUCGUAAAACUCUGUUGUUAGGGAAGAACAAGUGCUAGUUGAAUAAGCUGGCACCUUGACGGUACCUAACCAGAAAGCCACGGCUAACUACGUGCCAGCCGCCGCGGUAA
rnacentral:rRNA from 1 species